ACGAACGCUGGCGGCGUGCUUAAUACAUGCAAGUCGAACGGAAAGGCCCCUUUGGGGGUACUCGAGUGGCGAACGGGUGAGUAACACGUGAGUAACCUGCCCUUGACUUCGGGAUAACUUCAGGAAACUGGGGCUAAUACCGGAUAGGAAUCCUUGCUGCAUGGUGGGGGUUGGAAAGCUUCGGCGGUUUUGGAUGGACUCGCGGCUUAUCAGCUUGUUGGUGGGGUAGUGGCUUACCAAGGCUUUGACGGGUAGCCGGCCUGAGAGGGCGACCGGCCACAUUGGGACUGAGAUACGGCCCAGACUCCUACGGGAGGCAGCAGUGGGGAAUAUUGCACAAUGGGCGGAAGCCUGAUGCAGCAACGCCGCGGGCGGGAUGACGGCCUUCGGGUUGUAAACCGCUUUCAGCAGGGGCGAAGCUUGUGGUGACGGUACCUGCAGAAGAAGCACCGGCUAACUACGUG
rnacentral:rRNA from 1 species